AUGUCUACUGGGGCCAAGCCCAGGCUUGGCUGUGAGUGCUCAGGUGCUGUGGGGGGUUCCUCUCAGUGGUGUUGUAUUUCCCUCUGAGUCAGGACCCAACCCAAGCCCCUUAAUUAGGUGACUGUGAAGAGCUGCCAUCAUGUUCUUCUCGCAAGAGAGCUGUGCUUCAGCCUUUCAGUGUUAUGAUGUACCCAGCUGGUCCAGGAUCUGGUGACUCCCCAGAAGUCUUCCCUGAACAACCAAGGCUCCAGCCACAAACUGGAAAUCGUGCAACUCAGACACUGGAUGCUUUCUUCACAUGUCGAAAAAAUGUCCUUCUGGCGAACAGCUCAUCCCCCCAGGUAGAGGGCGACUUUGCCAUGGCCCCUCGGGGCCCUGACCAGGAGGAAUGUGAGGGCCUGCUGCAGCAGUGGCGAGAAGAAGGGUUGAGCCAGGUGCUCUCAACUGCAAGUGAGGGGCCCCUUAUAGAUAAAGGACUAGCCCAGAGCAGCCUGGCACUUCUGAUGGAUAAUCCUGGAGAAGAGAAUGCUGCUUCAGAGGACAGGUGGUCCAGCAGGCAGCUGAGUGACCUUCGGGC
rnacentral:sRNA from 1 species